rnacentral:lncRNA from 1 species
AAAUGAAAAGUAAUAUACUGAAAAAGUUAUUGGAGCUAGUUAAAAUGAUAUGAUUGAAAUCAAAACGGUGGAGUUUUGAUUCUAUUGAGAUUUUAUCAGAAACAUAACAUCUAAUAAUUGGUAUCCUUUGUUACAUACAUAAAUAUUAUUCUAAGAAAGUAAAACAAAAAUAGUAUUUGAAAGAAACAAUGUUGCUGAAAUCCAUGCGAAGAAAGAGA